rnacentral:rRNA from 1 species
GGGCCCGCACAAGCGGUGGAGCAUGUGGUUUAAUUCGAUGCAACGCGAAGAACCUUACCAGGUCUUGACAUCCUCGGAACUUGGCAGAGAUGCCUUGGUGCCUUCGGGAGCCGAGUGACAGGUGCUGCAUGGCCGUCGUCAGCUCGUGUCGUGAGAUGUUGGGUUAAGUCCCGUAACGAGCGCAACCCUUGUCCUUAGUUGCCAGCACGUCAUGGUGGGAACUCUAGGGAGACUGCCGGUGACAAACCGGAGGAAGGUGGGGACGACGUCAGGUCAUCAUGGCCCUUACGACCUGGGCUACACACGUGCUACAAUGGCUGGUACAGAGGGUUGCGAAGUCGCGAGGCGAAG